rnacentral:lncRNA from 1 species
CGUGGCUGAUACAAAGGUUGAUUAAGAGAGCUGCACAAUUGUAAAGUGAUGUGGUACACUGUCUGCUGCUUUUCUGAAAACCAUCCUGUGUCACAACCAAACCAUUUGACCGUAAUGUAACAAUUCUGAGGCAAGGCUAAAUUGCUGGGCCAGUGAGACCUGGACGAAGGGGGAAGAAAAAGAGUCUUUUAAAAAUAAAGAAGCCACAGAAGAUUUUCUAAAUAUACAUAUAUUGGCCGGGUGCGUUGGGCUCACUCCUGUAAUCCCAACACUUUGGGAGGCCGAGGAGGGUGGAUCACUUGAGGUCAGUAGUUCGAGACUAGGCUGGCCAACAUGGUGAAGCCCCGUCUCUACUAAAAAUACAAAAAUUAUCCGGGCAUGGUGCCACACGUCUGUAAUCCCAGCUACUCAGGAGGCUGAGGCAGGAGAAUCACUUGAACACAGGAUGCAAAAGUUGCAGUGAGCUGAGAUCGUGCCACUGCACUCCAGCCAGGGCAACAGAGCGAGACUCCAUCUCAAAAAAAAAAAAAAAAAAAAGAAUAUAUAUAUAUUCUUUUUGCACUACAUAUAUGUAGUGCAAGUGGCUUUAAAAUCUAAGGAAACUGGAAAAAAACUUAAAUGGUGUAUGGCACCUGGACAGAAAGAAAAACUUCUUGGCUAAGCAGCUUUGGUCCUGAGGACGAAAAAGGACUUUGACUUGCGC